rnacentral:rRNA from 1 species
CAAUAGCGUAUAUUAAAGUUGUUGCGGUUAAAAAGCUCGUAGUUGGAUUUCUGUCGAGGACGACCGGUCCGCCCUCUGGGUGAUGCAUCUGGCUCGGCCUUGGCAUCUUCUUGGGGAACGUUACUGCACUUGACUGUGUGGUGCGGUAUCCAGGACUUUUACUUUGAGGAAAUUAGAGUGUUUCAAGCAGGCGCACGCCUUGAAUACAUUAGCAUGGAAUAAUAAGAUAGGACCUUGGUUCUAUUUUGUUGGUUUCUAGAGCUGAGGUAAUGAUUAAUAGGGAUAGUUGGGGGCAUUCGUAUUUAACUGUCAGAGGCGAAAUUCUUGGAUUUGUUAAAGACGGACUACUGCGAAAGCAUUUGCCAAGGAUGUUUUCAUUGA